rnacentral:rRNA from 1 species
AUAGACAUGCAAGUCGAGCGAACAGAAGGGAGCUUGCUCCCGGAUGUUAGCGGCGGACGGGUGAGUAACACGUGGGUAACCUGCCUGUAAGACUGGGAUAACUCCGGGAAACCGGAGCUAAUACCGGAUAGUUCCUUGAACCGCAUGGUUCAAGGAUGAAAGACGGUUUCGGCUGUCACUUACAGAUGGACCCGCGGCGCAUUAGCUAGUUGGUGGGGUAAUGGCUCACCAAGGCGACGAUGCGUAGCCGACCUGAGAGGGUGAUCGGCCACACUGGGACUGAGACACGGCCCAGACUCCUACGGGAGGCAGCAGUAGGGAAUCUUCCGCAAUGGACGAAAGUCUGACGGAGCAACGCCGCGUGAGUGAUGAAGGUUUUCGGAUCGUAAAGCUCUGUUGUUAGGGAAGAACAAGUGCGAGAGUAACUGCUCGCACCUUGACGGUACCUAACCAGAAAGCCACGGCUAACUACGUGCCAGCAGCCGCGGUAAUACGUAGGUGGCAAGCGUUGUCCGGAAUUAUUGGGCGUAAAGGGCUCGCAGGCGGUUUCUUAAGUCUGAUGUGAAAGCCCCCGGCUCAACCGGGGAGGGUCAUUGGAAACUGGGAAACUUGAGUGCAGAAGAGGAGAGUGGAAUUCCACGUGUAGCGGUGAAAUGCGUAGAGAUGUGGAGGAACACCAGUGGCGAAGGCGACUCUCUGGUCUGUAACUGACGCUGAGGAGCGAAAGCGUGGGGAGCGAACAGGAUUAGAUACCCUGGUAGUCCACGCCGUAAACGAUGAGUGCUAAGUGGUUAGGGGGUUUCCGCCCCUUAGUGCUGCAGCUAACGCAUUAAGCACUCCGCCUGGGGGAGUACGGUCGCAAGACUGAAACUCAAAGGAAUUGACGGGGGCCCGCACAAGCGGUGGAACAUGUGGUUUAAUUCGAAGCAACGCGAAGAACCUUACCAGGUCUUGACUCCU